GAUGAACGCUGGCGGCGUGCCUAAUACAUGCAAGUAGAACGCUGAAGGAAGGAGCUUGCUCUUUCCGGAUGAGUUGCGAACGGGUGAGUAACGCGUAGGUAACCUGCCUGGUAGCGGGGGAUAACUAUUGGAAACGAUAGCUAAUACCGCAUAACAGUAGAUGUUGCAUGAUAUCUACUUAAAAGGUGCAAAUGCACCACUACCAGAUGGACCUGCGUUGUAUUAGCUAGUUGGUGAGGUAACGGCUCACCAAGGCGACGAUACAUAGCCGACCUGAGAGGGUGAUCGGCCACACUGGGACUGAGACACGGCCCAGACUCCUACGGGAGGCAGCAGUAGGGAAUCUUCGGCAAUGGACGGAAGUCUGACCGAGCAACGCCGCGUGAGUGAAGAAGGUUUUCGGAUCGUAAAGCUCUGUUGUAAGAGAAGAACGAGUGUGAGAGUGGAAAGUUCACACUGUGACGGUAUCUUACCAGAAAGGGACGGCUAACUACGUG
rnacentral:rRNA from 1 species